rnacentral:rRNA from 1 species
CACGUAGGGUGCGAGCGUUGUCCGGAAUUAUUGGGCGUAAAGAGCUCGUAGGCGGUGUGUCGCGUCGGCCGUGAAAACCUGCAGCUUAACUGUGGGCUUGCGGUCGAUACGGGCAUCACUGGAGUUCGGCAGGGGAGACUGGAAUUCCUGGUGUAGCGGUGAAAUGCGUAGAUAUUGGGAGGAACACCAGUGGCGAAGGCGGCUACCUGGACCGGUUCUGACGCUGAGGCGCGAAAGCGUGGGUAGCAAACAGG